rnacentral:rRNA from 1 species
GCUCAGGACGAACGCUGGCGGCGUGCCUAACACAUGCAAGUCGAACGGAGUACAGAUUUUCGGAUUUGUACUGAGUGGCGAACGGGUGAGUAACGCGUGAGCAACCUGACCCUUUGAGGGGGAUAACACCUGGAAACAAGUGCUAAUACCGCAUAAGACCACGACCCGGCAUCGGGAUGAGGUCAAAGGAGCAAUCCGCAGAGGGAGGGGCUCGCGUCCCAUUAGAUAGUUGGCGGGGUAACGGCCCACCAAGUCGACGAUGGGUAGCCGAGCUGAGAGGCUGAUCGGCCACACUGGAACUGAGACACGGUCCAGACUCCUACGGGAGGCAGCAGUGGGGAAUAUUGGGCAAUGGGCGCAAGCCUGACCCAGCAACGCCGCGUGAGGGAAGAAGGCUUUCGGGUUGUAAACCUCUGUCCUUGGUGACGAAGGAAGUGACGGUAGCCAAGGAGGAAGCCCCGGCUAACUACGUGCCAGCAGCCGCGGUAAUACGUAGGGGGCGAGCGUUGUCCGGAAUUACUGGGCGUAAAGGGUGCGUAGGCGGUCUUUUAAGUUGGAUGUGAAAUCCCCGGGCUUAACUUGGGGUCUGCAUCCAAUACUGGGAGACUAGAGUGCAGGAGAGGGAAGCGGAAUUCCUAGUGUAGCGGUGAAAUGCGUAGAUAUUAGGAGGAACACCAGUGGCGAAGGCGGCUUUCUGGACUGUAACUGACGCUGAGGCACGAAAGCGUGGGGAGCAAACAGGAUUAGAUACCCUGGUAGUCCACGCUGUAAACGAUGAAUACUAGGUGUAGGGGGUAUCAACUCCCCCUGUGCCGGAGCAAACGCAAUAAGUAUUCCGCCUGGGGAGUACGGCCGCAAGGUUGAAACCCAAAGGAAUUGACGGGGGCCCGCACAAGCAGCGGAGCAUGUGGUUUAAUUCGAAGCAACGCGAAGAACCUUACCUAGACUUGACAUCUCCUGCAUUACCCUUAAUCGGGGAAGUUCCUUCGGGGACAGGAAGACAGGUGGUGCAUGGUUGUCGUCAGCUCGCGUCGUGAGAUGUUGGGUUAAGUCCCGCAACGAGCGCAACCCUUAUUGUUAGUUGCUACCAUUUAGUUGAGCACUCUAGCGAGACUGCCCGGGUUAACCGGGAGGAAGGUGGGGAUGACGUCAAAUCAUCAUGCCCCUUAUGUCUAGGGCUACACACGUGCUACAAUGGCUGGUACAGAGAGAUGCUAAACCGUGAGGUGGAGCUAAACUUUAAAACCAGUCUCAGUUCGGAUUGUAGGCUGAAACUCGCCUACAUGAAGUCGGAGAUGCUAGUAAUCGCGGAUCAGCAUGCCGCGGUGA